CAGGCUGUCUUCGCACUUAUGAUUGUCCUGUCCCAAACUCUACAGUGUCUGGGAUUCCAGGCAUACAUCACUGCUUGAAGAUCACUCUGCUCCUGCACUUCCUUCUGCUGAUGACACUGUGUCAUGUGAUGGGGUCCCUUCCCCAGGAGCUGCUCUCACUGGUGGCAUCACCUCAGAUGGCGCUCAAGAUCCAGGAGGCCCAGUGUCUGCAGCAACAGUGACACCAGCUUCUGUCCCACUUGUGGCAGCAUGCAGAGGUCUGGUGUCAGCUGACCUCUCAGAAAGAAACACAGCUCAAGUUCUGUUUCAUACAACAGCUCAUGGUGCAGCUGCUGUGUGAGGAGAAUCAGGCAAGAGGAGACCCAGCAUCUGGAAGCCACCAAGCAGCAGAAGCAGCAGUCAUUCCCGCUGAGCCUCCUCGUUCUGCGUUGGCAAGGACACAUCAGCGUCAGGGUGGAGAGUGUCUGGUACUUCUCUUGUGGGGUUGACCAGAGAUCAUUCCGGCAGCUCCCAAUAGAAGAUGAAGGGGACAAAGAGGACAGGCAUGUUCAACAUGGACCAGUGUGACCAUUCCUGGGACAGACUAGAUGCCAGGGGGAUGACUACAGAGUCCAGGAUGAAAGCUGGUGUCCUAGAGGGGCUUAAGGAGACCCUGAAUGGACUCCAUAAAUUCCAUCACAAGGAUUGGCGACAAAUCAAGAACAGAGAGAUUUGAGAGACAAUUCUCCUUCACCCAAGAUGUUUGUGAACAUCUGCAUAUUUCCAAUCACAUGUCAACAUCUCCCUUUCUAUAAAGCUUUUGAACCUCCCUAUAAGCAAUAUUGUUCUGUCAGGUAAUUUGCAGCUACAAACCUAGGUAGCGGCAUUAAAAAAUGUUAGCUUGCAUAGUUUGAUUUUACAUUGAAGAAAUGUAGAUCAUUGGAUCAUUCAAGGCUCGCCAGGGCUUGACCUCACUUGGGAUUUUUUUGUUGUUCUUCUUCUUUUUUUAGUACUUUCCUUUUUAUGACAAGAUAAUGUUUGUGUGCAUACCGUAGUCCAAAUGCCAGAAAACUAUACCCAGGGUCAAAGUCUCCCUGAUUCCCAUUUUCUCAGGCCCAUAGUUGUUGCUUUUACUUUCAUAUUUUACUAUUAUUAGCUCUCAAUAGUUUUCCUAUAGUUUUACAUUCAAUUUAUCAAUGUGAACAACUGUUUUGCUGACUUUCAUAAAAGUUUUAUUUCUCAUCGCACAUUAUCCUUUUCCUCUUCCCACUUUGUGAAAUGUGCUCUGUGUUAAUUUAAAUUUAGCAAUAUUCAUAAAAGCAUAGGGGAGACUGAUUAGACAACAGUAUGGGACUAUGGAAGAGAAGAAAA